AUUGAACGCUGGCGGCAGGCCUAACACAUGCAAGUCGAGCGGAGCGGCGGACGGGUGAGUAAUGCCUAGGAAUCUGCCUGGUAGUGGGGGAUAACGUCCGGAAACGGGCGCUAAUACCGCAUACUAUCAGAUGAGCCUAGGUCGGCUUAUCUAGUUGGUGGGGUAAAGGCCUACCAAGGGGACGAUCCGUAACUGGUAUGAGAGGAGAAUCAGUCACCCUGGAACGGAGACACGGUCCAGACUCCUACGGGAGGCAGCAUUGGGGAAUAUUCGCCAUGGAGCGAAAGCCUGAUCCAGCCAUGCCGCGUGUGUGAAGAAGGUCUUCGGAUUGUAAAGCACUUUAAGUUGGGAGGCGUUACCAACAUAAUAAGCACCGGCUAACUUCGUGCCAGCAGCCGCGGUAAUUC
rnacentral:rRNA from 1 species